CCUACGGGAGGCAGCAGUGAGGAAUAUUGGUCAAUGGACGAGAGUCUGAACCAGCCAAGUAGCGUGAAGGAUGACUGCCCUAUGGGUUGUAAACUUCUUUUAUAAAGGAAUAAAACGAGGCACGUGUGCCUUGUUGCAUGUACUUUAUGAAUAAGGAUCGGCUAACUCCGUGCCAGCAGCCGCGGUAAUACGGAGGAUCCGAGCGUUAUCCGGAUUUAUUGGGUUUAAAGGGAGCGUAGACGGGUUGUUAAGUCAGUUGUGAAAGUUUGCGGCUCAACCGUAAAAUUGCAAUUGAUACUGGCAGUCUUGAGUACAGUUGAGGUAGGCGGAAUUCGUGGUGUAGCGGUGAAAUGCUUAGAUAUCACGAAGAACCCCGAUUGCGAAGGCAGCUUACUAAACUGUGACUGACAUUGAUGCUCGAAAGUGUGGGUAUCAAACAGGAUUAGAUACACUAGUAGUC
rnacentral:rRNA from 1 species